UACGUAGGUGACAAGCGUUGUCCGGAUUUACUGGGCGUAAAGAGCGCGCAGGCGGUCGUUCAAGUCGAGUGUGAAAGCCCCCGGCUCAACUGGGGAGGGUCACUCGAUACUGAUCGACUCGAAGGCAGGAGAGGGAAGUGGAAUUCCCGGUGUAGUGGUGAAAUGCGCAGAUAUCAGGAGGAACACCAGCGGCGAAGGCGGCGCUCUGGGCCGGUACUGACGCUGAGGAGCGAAAGCGUGGGGAGCAAACAGG
rnacentral:rRNA from 1 species